GGAUGUGAGGGUGAUCUGGUUGGGACACCUGUCACCCCAUUAAUUGCCAAGGUUGAUUUGGCUGAUCUGGCUGGCUAAGCAGGUAUCCCUUCCUCCCUCACGGAUCCAUGAACCUCCCUCUGGAGCUGCACAUUUGGUUGAAGAGCGCAACCUUCCCUGAAUAGAGGAGGGCCGUUCUUUGGUCAAGGGUAUACGUUUAGCUGUUCUGACCUGCUAGAACCUCCAAACAAGCUCUCAAGACCCAUAGUAUUCAUAUACAAUUUUUAUCUCUCUUCAUUUUUUUCCUCAAAAUUUCUUAAUUUUCUGA
ensembl:misc_RNA 7SK 7SK RNA